rnacentral:rRNA from 1 species
GACGAACCGUGCGAACGUUGUUCGGAAUCACUGGGCUUAAAGGGCGCGUAGGCGGACACGCCAGUCCGGGGUGAAAUCUUUCGGCUCAACCGGAAAAGGGCCUUGGAUACUGCGUGUCUGGAGGAAGGUAGGGGCAUGCGGAACUUCCGGUGGAGCGGUGAAAUGCGUUGAUAUCGGAAAGAACACCAACGGCGAAAGCACUCUGCUGGGCCGACACUGACACUGAGAGACGAAAGCUAGGGGAGCGAAUGGG